UACGCGCAGACCACAGGAUGUC
rnacentral:miRNA from 1 species